CCUACGGGUGGCAGCAGUGAGGAAUAUUGGUCAAUGGGCGGAAGCCUGAACCAGCCAAGUAGCGUGCAGGAUGACUGCCCUACGGGUUGUAAACUUCUUUUAUACGGGAAUAACGCGCCUUACGUGUAGGGCUUUGCAUGUACCGUAUGAAUAAGGACCGGCUAAUUCCGUGCCAGCAGCCGCGGUAAUACGGAAGGUCCGGGCGUUAUCCGGAUUUAUUGGGUUUAAAGGGAGCGUAGGCCGCAUGUCAAGCGUGUUGUGAAAUGUCCGGGCUCAACCCGAGCCUUGCAGAGGGAACUGGCUGGCUUGAGUGCGCCGAAGGCAGGCGGAAUUCGUGGUGUAGCGGUGAAAUGCUUAGAUAUGACGAAGAACCCCGAUUGCGAAGGCAGCUUGCUGCAGCGGAACUGACGCUGAUGCUCGAAAGCGUGGGUAUCGAACAGGAUUAGAUACCCCGGUAGUC
rnacentral:rRNA from 1 species